rnacentral:rRNA from 1 species
UAAGUCAGGGGUGAAAGUCUGCGGCUCAACCGUAGAAUUGCCUUUGAUACUGGUGGUCUUGAGUUAUGGUGAAGUGGCUGGAAUAUGUAGUGUAGCGGUGAAAUGCAUAGAUAUUACAUAGAACACCGAUUGCGAAGGCAGGUCACUAACCAUAUACUGACGCUGAUGGACGAAAGCGUGGGGAGCGAACAGGAUUAGAUACCCUGGUAGUCCACGC